rnacentral:rRNA from 1 species
GAUGAACGCUGGCGGCGUGCCUAAUACAUGCAAGUCGAACGAGGUGCUUGAGUAGCAAUACAAGAGUAUCCUAGUGGCGAACGGGUGAGUAACGCGUGGGUGACCUGCCCCGAAGUGUGGGAUAACAGUCCGAAAGGAUUGCUAAUACCUCAUGUGGUUAUCGGAUUUAGAAACUGAUAACUAAAGCAGCAAUGCGCUUUGGGAGGGACCUGCGUCCCAUCAGCUAGUUGGUGAGGUAAUGGCUCACCAAGGCUACGACGGGUAGGGGACCUGAGAGGGUGGCCCCCCACAAUGGAACUGAAACACGGUCCAUACACCUACGGGUGGCAGCAGUAGGGAAUAUUGCACAAUGGGCGAAAGCCUGAUGCAGCAACGCCGCGUGUGCGAUGAAGGCCUUUGGGUCGUAAAGCACUUUUCUGAGAGAUGAGAAAGGACAGUAUCCCAGGAAUAAGUCUCGGCUAACUACGUGCCAGCAGCCGCGGU